AUGCUUACACUCCAUACAGGGCCGGCCCAGGCCCGCUGGCCGCUGCGAGUGACCCCUCUGCGAUUUCCAUUUGCUUCCUCCGUCUUCUCCAUCCCCUCUCCCCCUACCUCCACCGUCCCUGAGCACUCCCAGUCCCAGGCCAUUAGCCUAGCUAGCUACCCCCUCCAUGCGAGGGCGGCAAUGGCGCCCGCCUCCUUCGCCGCCUCCCUCGCCGUCUCCCUCUCCGCCCCCGUCCGCCUAAUCCCGCCCAGAUGCUUCCGCGGGAGGCCGAGGCGAUCCCGCCCAAUCAGGGCUUCGAGCGACACGAAUGGCGCCCCGAACGGGGAGCGGAGGAUCGGGGCUCUGGAGAGGAGGGUGGGGGAUUUGAGGGCGCUUGUCGCCUCGGUGCCUCCUGCUGUUGUCUCGAUGAGGAAAACCAUUGGACUAAAUUCCAUUGCCGGUUUCGGUUUCGGCAUUGCAUUUUUGGCUGCUCUCGCAAGACAGGUCAUCAUAAGAACUCAACAGCAAGAUAGUAGUGGUUCUGUUUCUGAUCUAGUAAGGCGCGGGCAUCUAAAAUCUGGGCAACGUGGGAUUGCAAAACCACGUGUGUACAAUGAUCCUUUCAAUAAUUCGUUAGUCAAGAUCGAUGAAGGUACUUCUACUGCUCAGAUGUUUGGCAAGGAGUACCGCAUGGCUCCUGUCCGGCUUACAAAUGAACAACAGACAAUGCAUCAGAAAAGGAGAUCACAUGCAUAUCAGUGGAAAAGGCCCACUGUGUUUCUUAAAGAAGGUGAUCCCCUGCCACCAGAUGUCGAUCCAGAGACAGUUAGAUGGAUUCCAGUAAACCACCCAUUUGCUGCUGGUUCGGUUGAAGUAGAUGAGGAGACUGCCAAAAGGAAUGUUUAUCAAAAGGAUGGCGUCCCAUCCCGUGUUAAAGCUGAACAUGAAGCUUUGCGGGCAAGGCUAGAGGCUUCAAAUGAUGUAAAACCAUUCUCUAACGGUCCAAGGGGUAUGCAACAUAGUGCAAGAUCAUCGAAGUUAUCAGACGAGCCAUCUGGGAAUCUGCAACAGUCUAAACCUGACAUGGUGAAUGACCAAAAUGGCCAACCAAUGUUAGGGCAUGAGCCCGAGCCCGAGCCCGAGAGCUCUGACAAUGGUUCACUAUCAAAAAGCUUGGAAGGGCAGUAA
rnacentral:rRNA from 1 species